rnacentral:rRNA from 1 species
AUUGAACGCUGGCGGAAUGCUUUACACAUGCAAGUCGAACGGCAGCACGGGGGCAACCCUGGUGGCGAGUGGCGAACGGGUGAGUAAUGUAUCGGAACGUGCCCAGUCGUGGGGGAUAACGUAGUGAAAAUUACGCUAAUACCGCAUACGAUCUAUGGAUGAAAGCGGGGGAUCGCAAGACCUCGCGCGAUUGGAGCGACCGAUAUCAGAUUAGGUAGUUGGUGGGGUAAAGGCUCACCAAGCCGACGAUCUGUAGCUGGUCUGAGAGGACGACCAGCCACACUGGAACUGAGACACGGUCCAGACUCCUACGGGAGGCAGCAGUGGGGAAUUUUGGACAAUGGGCGAAAGCCUGAUCCAGCCAUUCCGCGUGCAGGAUGAAGGCCUUCGGGUUGUAAACUGCUUUUGUACGGAACGAAACGGCGAGCUCUAAUACAGUUUGCUAAUGACGGUACCGUAAGAAUAAGCACCGGCUAACUACGUGCCAGCCGCCGCAGUAAAAC